CUUACCAUGCAAGUCGAACGGUAAGGCUCCUUCGGGAGUACACGAGUGGCGAACGGGUGAGUAACACGUGAGCAACCUACCCUUGACUUCGGAAUAACAGUUGGAAACAGCUGCUAAUACCGAAUACGACCUUCUCGGUCAUCUGAGUUGGUGGAAAGUUCUGGCGGUCAAGGAUGGGCUCGCGGCCUAUCAGCUUGUUGGUGAGGUAACGGCUCACCAAGGCUUCGACGGGUAGCCGGCCUGAGAGGGCGACCGGCCACACUGGGACUGAGAUACGGCCCAGACUCCUACGGGAGGCAGCAGUGGGGAAUAUUGCACAAUGGGCGAAAGCCUGAUGCAGCAACGCCGCGUGCGGGAUGACGGCCUUCGGGUUGUAAACCGCUUUCAGCAGGGACGAAGCGAAAGUGACGGUACCUGCAGAAGAAGGACCGGCCAACUACGUGCCAGCAGCCGCGGUGAUACGUAGGGUCCGAGCGUUGUCCGGAAUUAUUGGGCGUAAAGAGCUCGUAGGCGGUUCAUCACGUCGGAAGUGAAAACUCAGGGCUUAACCCUGAGCCUGCUUCCGAUACGGGCGAACUAGAGGGAUGCAGGGGAGAAUGGAAUUCCUGGUGGAGCGGUGGAAUGCGCAGAUAUCAGGAGGAACACCAGUGGCGAAGGCGGUUCUCUGGGCAUUUCCUGACGCUGAGGAGCGAAAGCGUGGGGAGCAAACAGGCUUAGAUACCCUGGUAGUCCACGCCGUAAACGGUGGGCACUAGGUGUGGGGGACAUUCCACGUUCUCCGUGCCGAAGCUAACGCAUUAAGUGCCC
rnacentral:rRNA from 1 species